rnacentral:rRNA from 1 species
AUUGAACGCUGGCGGCAGGCUUAACACAUGCAAGUCGAGCGAGUGGCGGACGGGUGAGUAAUGUCUGGGAAACUGCCUGAUGGAGGGGGAUAACUACGGGAAACGGUAGCUAAUACCGCGUACCAUAGGAUGAGCCCAGGUGGGAUUAGGUAGUAGGUGGGGUAAUGGCUCACCUAGGCGACGAUCCCUAGCUGGUCUGAGAGGAUGACCAGCCACACUGGGACUGAGACACGGCCCAGACUCCUACGGGAGGCAGCAGUGGGGAAUAUUGCGCAAUGGGCGCAAGCCUGAUGCAGCCAUGCCGCGUGAGUGAAGAAGGCCUUCGGGUUGUAAAGUUCUUUCGGUGACGAGGCGUUACUCACAGAAGAAGCACCGGCUAACUCCGUGCCAGCAGCCGCGGUAAUUC